ACGGGUGAGUAAUGCAUCGGGAUCUACCCUGACGUGGGGGAUAACCUCGGGAAACCGGGACUAAUACCGCAUACGUCCUACGGGAGAAAGCGGGGGACCUUUUAGGCCUCGCGCGGCAGGACGAACCGAUGUGCGAUUAGCUAGUUGGCGGGGUAAUGGCCCACCAAGGCGACGAUCGCUAGCUGGUCUGAGAGGAUGAUCAGCCACACUGGGACUGAGACACGGCCCAGACUCCUACGGGAGGCAGCAGUGGGGAAUAUUGGACAAUGGGCGCAAGCCUGAUCCAGCAAUGCCGCGUGUGUGAAGAAGGCCUUCGGGUUGUAAAGCACUUUUAUCAGGAGCGAAAUCUGCAUGCUUAAUACGUGUGCAGUCUGACGGUACCUGAGGAAUAAGCACCGGCUAACUUCGUGCCAGCAGCCGCGGUAAUACGAAGGGUGCAAGCGUUAAUCGGAAUUACUGGGCGUAAAGGGUGCGUAGGCGGUUCGUUAAGUCUGUCGUGAAAUCCCCGGGCUCAACCUGGGAAUGGCGAUGGAUACUGGCGAGCUAGAGUGUGUCAGAGGAUGGUGGAAUUCCCGGUGUA
rnacentral:rRNA from 1 species